AUAUUAGGCACUGAUGCCUAUGAAAGCCUGGAUCAUAGUAAUCUCACUUUCAAGGCUGGAUGGAAUGAGAUACUUGAAUGUUGGAGCAACAACUGGUGAAAUUUCAAAUUAUGAAGAUUUACUUGAAUGUUCUCUGCUGAUUGCUCUGGCAAGUUAUUUACAUGCAGAUUCUGCCAUGAUAAAGUCAGUGAAAUUUAAUGGAUAUGCACAAGAAGAAGAAGAAGAUGGCAGAAAGAUGGGCCUCCCUUUUGGUAUUCCAGAAUGUACUGUGAAAUGGGUGAAGCUAUCAUAAGUGUGGGUUAUGUGGAUCCUUUGAUAGCAGCCUACUUAAGAAAAUGAAGAUGCAGGGUUAUCAUGCAUACCAUAGUAAGAGAAGGAGGAUUCUAUCCUGGAGCCUGGAAGGCCUGCCAAAACUGACAAGGCUGCCAUUUUAAGUGAUGCUAUGUGAGUGGUGACCCAGUUACAAAGUGAAGCCCAGAAGCUAAAUGAAUCAAACGAGGAUUUGAAAAUGAAGAUUAAAGAAUUGAAGGCUGAGAAGAAUAUGCUUCAUGAUGAGAAGCAGAGGCUCAAGGCGGACAAAGAGAAGUUGGAUUUGAAGUAUAGAUGCUUCUACAGACAUUUCUGACAAUCAGAUUUGUGCAAAGCUCUACCAUUUCCAGUGGAGAUUUCUACAAUCUGUUUGGAUAUGACAAUCUCACUUUUUCCAAGUGACAAAUUUGGACUGGUUAUACCCACUUAUUUCUAAGGUAG